CUCGUAGGCGGUCUGUUGCGUCGGCUGUGAAAACCCGGGGCUCAACUCCGGGCCUGCAGCCGAUACGGGCAGACUAGAGUUCGGCAGGGGAGACUGGAAUUCCUGGUGUAGCGGUGAAAUGCGCAGAUAUCAGGAGGAACACCGGUGGCGAAGGCGGGUCUCUGGGCCGAUACUGACGCUGAGGAGCGAAAGCGUGGGGAGCAAACAGGAUUAGAUACCCUGGUAGUCCACGCCGUAAACGUUGGGCGCUAGGUGUGGGUUCCCUUCCACGGGAUCCGUGCCGCAGCUAACGCAUUAAGCGCCCCGCCUGGGGAGUACGGCCGCAAGGCUAAA
rnacentral:rRNA from 1 species